GGGGUACUUAGCUUUUUAGAAGUCUUCGGUACUUGUAGUAGUAAUCUCUGGUUCUAACCGACCGGCACUUGCAAACAGCUUCUGCUUCGGGCGCCACGCGGCAAGAAAGACUGAG